UCCGUAACUAUUAUCUGUCUGCUGCCUAUUACUAUGGAGGCUAUGAUGAGACUAGCAACAACUGGGAUGACUACUUGAGAUAUGUAAAUCCUGAGGGAGUAUAAAUGAUUUCUAAAGGAGGAACGCCCAAACUGGAGGUCAGUCAAACAUGACAUCCUUUCUAUGGACCUGAGGGGAAAUUAUGAGACAUGGAAAUUGUUGCCAAAUGCGAGGACAUAAAGUUGUCUAUUUGCAAAAUUACGUUGAAGUGGCACAAGGACCCUAAGUUGGUAUGUUUGAGUAGAUUACCUGAUCUCCUUAGUUGGGUUUAGGUUUAAUGCUCAGUGGUAUGUUGUGCUUCUGCUCCUUUUUAAUUAUCGAGGAUAUGCAGAGAUCGCAAAUGAAAAGAUUGUAUUUGCUGUGUUGAUGCAUAGUUGAGCCAGAGAUGCAAAAGGAAGGAUGUAUUCAAUCUC